GCUGGCGUAGCUCAGUAGGUAGAGCAACUGACUUGUAAUCAGUAGGUCCCGGGUUCGAUUCCUGGUGCCAGCACCA
rnacentral:tRNA from 7 species